GAUCCUGGCUCAGGAUGAACGCUGGCGGCGUGCCUAAUACAUGCAAGUCGAGCGGCAGCACGGUCUUCGGACUGGUGGCGAGCGGCGGACGGCUGAGUAACGCGUAGGAAUAUACCCCAAAGUGAGGGAUAACUGCCCGAAAGGGUGGCUAAUACCGCAUGUGGUCUUCGGACUAAAGCCUUCGGGCGCUUUGGGAAUAGCCUGCGUAAGAUUAGCUAGUUGGUGAGGUAAAUGGCUCACCAAGGCGACGAUCUUUAGCUGGUCUGAGAGGAUGACCAGCCAGACUGGAACUGAGACACGGUCCAGACUCCUACGGGAGGCAGCAGUAGGGAAUUUUCCACAAUGGGCGAAGGCCUGAUGGAGCAACGCCGCGUGCAGGAUAAAGGCCCUCGGGUCGUAAACUGCUUUUAUGUGCGAAGAAUAUGACGGUAACACAUGAAUAAGGGUCGGCUAACUACGUG
rnacentral:rRNA from 1 species